UAAACUGGGAUUAGAUACCCCACUAUGCUUAGCCUUAAACCCUAAUGAUUUAAUAACAAAAUUAUUUGCCCGAGGACUACUGGCCACAGCUUAAAACUCAAAGGACUUGGCGGUACUUUAUAUCCAUCUAGAGGAGCCUGUUCUAUAAUCGAUAAACCCCGUUAUACCUUACCACUCCUUGCUAAUUCAGCCUAUAUACCGCCAUCUUCAGCAAACCUUAAAAAAGAAUAACAGUAAGCAAGAGAAUCACCAUAAAAACGUUAGGUCAAGGUGUAGCCUAUGGAGUGGGAAGUAAUGGGCUACAUUUUCUCAACAAGAACAUUACGAAACCCUUUAUGAAAUCUAAAGGACAAAGGAGGAUUUAGUAGUAAAUUAAGAAUAGAGUGCUUAAUUGAAUAGCGCAAUGAAGUACGUACACACCGCCCGUCACCCUCCUCAAAUUAAAUGGACACAAUACAGAUACAUAAUUCAAUUAAUAAGUUUAUGAGAGGAGAUAAGUCGUAACAAGGUAAGCAUACUGGAAAGUGA
rnacentral:rRNA from 1 species